rnacentral:rRNA from 2 species
UAAGAAUACCCGCUGAACUUAAGCAUAUCAAUAAGCGGAGGA